GACGAACGCUGGCGGCGUGCCUAAUACAUGCAAGUUGAGCGCUGAAGGUUGGUACUUGUACCAACUGGAUGAGCAGCGAACGGGUGAGUAACGCGUGGGGAAUCUGCCUUGGAGCGGGGGACAACAUUUGGAAACGAAUGCUAAUACCGCAUAAAAACUUUAAACACAAGUUUUAAGUUUGAAAGAUGCAAUUGCAUCACUCAAAGAUGAUCCCGCGUUGUAUUAGCUAGUUGGUGAGGUAAAGGCUCACCAAGGCGAUGAUACAUAGCCGACCUGAGAGGGUGAUCGGCCACAUUGGGACUGAGACACGGCCCAAACUCCUACGGGGGGCAGCAGUAGGGAAUCUUCGGCAAUGGACGAAAGUCUGAACGAGCAACGCCGCGUGAGUGAAGAAGGUUUUCGGAUCGUAAAACUCUGUUGGUAGAGAAGAACGUUGGUGAGAGUGGAAAGCUCAUCAAGUGACGGUAACUAACCGGAAAGGGACGGCUAACUACGUG
rnacentral:rRNA from 1 species